UACGUAGGGGGCAAGCGUUGUCCGGAUUUAUUGGGCGUAAAGAGCGUGUAGGCGGCCAAGCAGGUCCGCUGUGAAAACUCGAGGCUCAACCUCGAGAGGUCGGUGGAAACCGUUUGGCUAGAGUCCGGAAGAGGAGAGUGGAAUUCCCGGUGUAGCGGUGAAAUGCGCAGAUAUCGGGAAGAACACCAAUGGCGAAGGCAGCUCGCUGGGACGGUACUGACGCUGGAGACGCGAAAGCGUGGGGAGCAAACAGGAUC
rnacentral:rRNA from 1 species